GGGGGUGUGGUCUAGUGGUCUAAGGCGUUCUUCCCUAUUGAUGUCCAAACCCAUGGGCACUGAACCACAACAAUGUAUGUACAUAGGCACGAGCAACCAGGGGAAGAAAAGACGCAGGUUUGAAUCCUGCUACCUCCA